UACAGAGGGUGCAAGCGUUGUUCGGAAUUAUUGGGCGUAAAGAGCUCGUAGGCGGUUUGUUGCGUCGGCUGUGAAAUCCCGAGGCUCAACCUCGGGUCUGCAGUCGAUACGAGCAAACUAGAGUGUUGCAGGGGAGACUGGAAUUCCUGGUGUAGCGGUGAAAUGCGCAGAUAUCAGGAGGGAACACCGGUGGCGAAGGCGGGGUCUCUGGGCAACAACUGACGCUGGAGGAGCGAAAGCGUGGGGAGCGAACAGG
rnacentral:rRNA from 1 species